UACGGAGGGGGCUAGCGUUGUUCGGAAUUACUGGGCGUAAAGCGCGCGUAGGCGGCUUUGUAAGUUAGGGGUGAAAGCCCGGAGCUCAACUCCGGAACUGCCUUUAAGACUGCAUCGCUAGAAUUGUGGAGAGGUAAGUGGAAUUCCGAGUGUAGAGGUGAAAUUCGUAGAUAUUCGGAAGAACACCAGUGGCGAAGGCGACUUACUGGACACAUAUUGACGCUGAGGUGCGAAAGCGUGGGGAGCAAACAGG
rnacentral:rRNA from 1 species